rnacentral:rRNA from 1 species
CAGUCGCCACGGUAAUACGAAGGGGGCUAGCGUUGCUCGGAAUGACUGGGCGUAAAGGGCGCGUAGGCGGCGGCCAAAGUCAGGCGUGAAAUUCCCGGGCUCAACCUGGGGGCUGCGUUUGAUAUUUGGUUGCUUGAGUGGGGAAGAGGGUCGUGGAAUUCCCAGUGUAGAGGUGAAAUUCGUAGAUAUUGGGAAGAACACCGGUGGCGAAGGCGGCGACCUGGUCCUUUACUGACGCUGAGGCGCGAAAGCGUGGGGAGCAAACAGGAUUAGAUACCCGGGUAGUCCCUGUCUCUUAUAA